UCAAUAUUUCCAGUCUAUGUUUGUUAUGAAGGAGAAAUAGAUUAAUACUUUUAAAUUACUUGUGUAUUGAAGUCAGACCAUUGUUACAACAUCCGUGUAUAUUGCAUAUCUUAGUAAGACACAGUCGGAGAUUCAUAAAACCUUUAUUUUAUUCAGUGAAAUUCAGUAUUUACUAGUUCAUGCAUGAAAAACAAAAUAUAUGGAUUAGUGAAAUCGGACUGGAAGAUUCUACACUGAUUGCACAUUUUUAAAAAAUAAAAUAAGGUUGUUGUUUUGUGAAACAUUUACUCUGUGAAAAAACAAGGUUUUACAGUUGUGCCAAAAAUAUUGGAAACAUUCUAUCUUGUCCUCAUUCCAGUAAACAAAUGAUCAUGCAUUUGGUUAACUAGAUCCCCACAAUUGUUGACACGGCGACACUUCUGCCGCUUCUGCUAAAGUUAAUAGUUUUCGGUCCGAAAACAAGAAACAUUUCUGAUAAGGCCAACCUGUGCAUCCGUUUUUCUGUGGGCAGCAAGCAGAAGGAAGAUGAUAAAUGAUAGGAAAAAAGAACUAAGAAAUCAUUUGUUUAGCAGAGUGGUACAUCAAACUGAAACUUAAAGCUACAGUGAUUGCUGUGUGGGGGGGGGGAAAAGAGGAUAUUGAUAAAAGUUGAUUCAGAAUAGCUCAACCAGUCAAUGCUGCUUCGUCCACAUUUUGUGAACCCUACCUAAAUCCCACUGCGUUUGUUCUGUGGCCAUCUACACUGCCUCAACACACAGAGACGCAGCUAAUACGCUCAACAAGCCAUCUGGUCACACCGUCUGCAAGUGUCCAUCCCUCCACCAUGUUACCACUGCAGGAGCUGCAUUAUAUAACCAUCUCUACAUGAGCCAGCGGGCACGAAACGAAAAGGAGCGAUGGGUUUAUGAACCGAGGGGCAUGGAUUCAUAUUCACAUGUCAGCGGGGACAAAGACCGUCUUACAUUUUCAGAAUGUGCCAUCUGAUUCUGAAGGAUUACAGUCGCCGUGGUGGACUGGCUUCCAUCAUAGCGCACUCCCUCCGAUUUAUCCUUAUCCCAGCAACACAUGACCAGGGCUGAGAGGGAAGGAUGCUCAGACUCUAAUGAAAUUCCUCUGCGCUUCUCCUCUAAUUCCUCUUCAACCCACCCCUAGUUUCAAUUUCAUCUUCCAGCCGUUGUUUAGUUCUGACAUCUGCCUACUUGUAGACGCAGCGCUCUUGGCUGUGAACCCAUCGCUUGAAGAUUUACACGAGAAACAUUUGCUCUUUUACUCUUCAACAAAACUUUUGUCGGACUAAUCUUCUGCAGCUGAACAAGCUAAGCCCGUGUGACGUAAAGUUUGUCAUCUGUGUCUGCAUGCGGGGGUCUCGGCAGAUUUUUGAGAUCACGUUGGCGCAACAACAAAGUCGAUGUUUAGGAGCGGCCAUCACACACGCAACAGCAGUUCAGUCAGGAGGAAUGGGACGUUUUUACAGCAAACCGUUGUGAGGAGUUUCUGGAAGGUCGGUUUAGUUUAAAAGAUAAUUUCACCAAAUACUAGGUAGGCAGAUGUGAGUAAACCUCUGAAUCUAAAGAAAGUUUCAAAGAAUAAAACAGUUGUGAUAUUAAACAAAUUUGGCCUGUUGUAAUAAAUCAUUUAAAA